rfam:Raoultella planticola strain GCSL-DIFS-295 CFSAN029441_contig0442, whole genome shotgun sequence.
AGUGGCUCAUUCACCUUCUUAUGUCAGCCCCUUCGGGACGCGCUACAUAAACUUCGAAUGACGCACAACAAGGUGCCUGCCGUCCAACUUCUGAUAACAGCUUUGCUUUAUCAACCAUCGGGCGAAACGUCGAGUUAGGCACCGCCUU